GAUGAACGCUGGCGGCGUGCCUAAUACAUGCAAGUCGAGCGAAUGGAUUGAGAGCUUGCUCUUAUGAAGUUAGCGGCGGACGGGUGAGUAACACGUGGGUAACCUGCCCAUAAGACUGGGAUAACUCCGGGAAACCGGGGCUAAUACCGGAUAACAUUUUGAACCGCAUGGUUCGAAAUUGAAAGGCGGCUUCGGCUGUCACUUAUGGAUGGACCCGCGUCGCAUUAGCUAGUUGGUGAGGUAACGGCUAACCAAGGCAACGAUGCGUAGCCGACCUGAGAGGACGAACAGCCACACUGGGACAGAGACACGGCCCAGACUCCUACGGGAGGCAGCAGUAGGGAAUCUUCCGCAAUGGACGAAAGUCUGACGGAGCAACGCCGCGUGAGUGAUGAAGGCUUUCGGGUCGUAAAACUCUGUUGUUAGGGAAGAACAAGUGCUAGUUGAAUAAGCUGGCACCUUGACGGUACCUAACCAGAAAGCCACGGCUAACUACGUGCCAGCCGCCGCCGUAA
rnacentral:rRNA from 1 species